UGCAGUCCCAGUCCCGGUCGGGCAGUUCCUUCAGGGACGAACUGGCGGCCGCCCCCUCCCUCUUCUUCACCAAAUCUCCCCCAGAUCUGCUAUUUUGAUCAUCAAAACGAGUAGAUCGGAGCAUCCCCGAGUUGCUUGAGAUAUUCUCUUCCCAAUCCUUCAUUUAUUUUCAGUCAAGAUUGGCUAUUGUAGAUGCAUUUUUUCAAACAUGGUGGAACCCUAAGAUGAGUUAUUAGUGAUUUGUUUGAUGAAUAUUUUGGUUACAUUAUGUUUAGAAAGAAGACGUAUACUCCUUGUGUUGAAGUAUUCUUAGUUAACUUGUUUAGUAUUGGAUUUAGAGAGAGACCAUUUUUUGGAUUAGGUUGAACCUAUUAUUUGUUAAUAAUUAGUUGUGAUAGAUUCUUUAUAAUAAAAUAGGUUGAAAAGAAUUGGUGUUGGUAAUGUCGUUCGUGAUUUGUAUCUUUGGGAUAAUUUGUAGUAGUUCUCACACGAUUUUGUAUAUGAUGUGGUCAUAAUUUUAAGCAUAUAUCAUAACAAAUCCAUUGACCUUAUUUUGUAAGAUGUUUGAGCCGGAUAAAUAUCCCGGCCUUGAUGAUUAUUACGAGGAGAAGCAUUGUGUUGUGCUAGUGGAAAGAGGGGAGGUUUCUCCAGUACUUCGUUUGAGAGGCCAUAACCCACGCGAGUCCCUGAAGUAUGACCGUCGCUACGAGCUUUAUUUUAGAAGAAUGGAUCUUCUCCGGUUUGUGCUCAACUUUAAAGGAACACCACCAUGCAUGGCUGAACUCGACAGCCAUUACCGCCCUUACGGACCGUUGGAGGCCGGAGACGCACUCUUUUCACCUUGCUCUUGUUGAGAUGACCGUCACUUUGGAGGAUAUUGCGAUGAUCUCCGGUCUUCCGAUCGAGGGCAGGGCUCUUACCGGGAAGGUGAGGUCUGAGGGGUGGCGACAAAGGGUUGCAGGUUUGGUUGGUGUUGAACCUCCCCCGUGGAUUCAUGAAACAAAGAAGGAUCCUAGGCCAUCUGGUGUUUUGUUCUCUUGGCUACAAGAACAUUUUUAUGAGUGCCCAGAGAAUGCCAGUCCGGCUGUUGUGGAGAGGUACGCCAGGGCUUACUUAUGGAAUCUUUUGACCCAAGUGGUGUUUCCUGACGGCA